rnacentral:rRNA from 1 species
AUGGCGGAGGAACCGUCCGCCAAGCGUCAUCAUGCCGAGACGUCGGACAAGAGGAGCAACCUCGUCGACAUUAACGUCCCCGGCGAGAAGUGCGAGUACACAACAACCCUCAAAGGGGUUGAGCUCCACGGCAACGAGACGCUGGAGAUCGUCUGCACCAGCGUACCAGAAAAGGCCGACGAGGUGAUCUCCAGGCUUUGGAGGAUGCUUGGCGGCAGGGUUCGUAGGAUCGUCGGCGUUGGUGUGCACUACACCAACGAAGAUGAACCUCCCCAGAAGGCAGCAGUCCUGCAGUUAUGCGUCGACGAACUCUGCUUGGUGUACCACAUCGCAGCGGCCACAAAAUGGCCCAAGCGCCUGACCGAGAUGCUGCAGCAUGAGAAGUUGUUCACAUUUGCCGGUUUCAGCAUUGAAAGUGACAAAGAGAAGCUGAAGUUGUCCGGUAUCGAGAUCAACCCCAACAAGUUCAUCGACAUUCAGCGCAAGUGGAGAGUUCCAUACACCGGAAAAGAGUACGACUCCUUGACUGAUGUUGCAGCCAGUGUCAUCCACCCAUUCUACAAAGGCAUGAAGAACAAGAUCAACACGCAGGAAGACUACAAACUGUGGGGGACCAGCAAGCUGCCAGACAACCUCAUCGAGUACGCAGGAGUAGAUGCGUACGCCCCGUACAAGUCAUGGUUCAUGAUCGACUACAUCAAUGACGGUUCGGAAUAUGCGAAAGAGCGGGAGGCUGAAAACUUCUACGACCACCCCUAUUGCCCCUUUGCUGGAUGA